rnacentral:rRNA from 1 species
AACGAACGCUGGCGGCAUGCCUAACACAUGCAAGUCGAACGAGACCUUCGGGUCUAGUGGCGCACGGGUGCGUAACGCGUGGGAACCUGCCCUUAGGUUCGGAAUAACUCCCCGAAAGGGGUGCUAAUACCGGAUAAUGUCUUCGCACCAAAGAUUUAUCGCCUUUGGAUGGCCCCGCGUUGGAUUAGCUAGUUGGUAGGGUAAAAGCCUACCAAGGCGACGAUCCAUAGCUGGUCUGAGAGGAUGAUCAGCCACACUGGGACUGAGACACGGCCCAGACUCCUACGGGAGGCGGCAGUGGGGAAUAUUGGACAAUGGGCGAAAGGCUGAUCGAGCAAUGCCGCGUGAAUGAUGAAGGCCUUAGGGUUGUAAAGCGCUUUUACCCGGGAUGAUAAUGACAGUACCGGGAGAAUAAGCUCCGGCUAACUCCGUG